UCGAACGAAGCAUGUAAAACAAUCCUUCGGGUGCGUUUUAUAUGACUGAGUGGCGGACGGGUGAGUAACGCGUGGGGAACCUACCGUAUGCAGGGGGACAACAGUCAGAAAUGACUGCUAAUACCGCAUAAGCACACAAUGCUGCAUGGCAUGGUGUGAAAAGAUUUAUCGGCAUACGAUGGCCCCGCGUCUGAUUAGCCAGUUGGCAGGGUAACGGCCUACCAAAGCAACGAUCAGUAGCCGGCUUGAGAGAGUGACCGGCCACAUUGGGACUGAGACACGGCCCAGACUCCUACGGGAGGCAGCAGUGGGGAAUAUUGCACAAUGGGGGAAACCCUGAUGCAGCGACGCCGCGUGAGUGAUGAAGUAUUUCGGUAUGUAAAGCUCUAUCAGCAGGGAAGAUAAUGACGGUACCUGACUAAGAAGCUCCGGCUAAAUACGUGCCAGCAGCCGCGGUAAUACGUAUGGAGCAAGCGUUAUCCGGAUUUACUGGGUGUAAAGGGAGCGCAGACGGCAGGGCAAGUCUGAUGUGAAAGUCCGGGGCUCAACCCCGGGACUGCAUUGGAAACUGUCCGGCUAGAGUGCAGGAGAGGCAAGUGGAAUUCCUAGUGUAGCGGUGAAAUGCGUA
rnacentral:rRNA from 1 species